AUUAGUAAGAACAUAAGUGAGAUAUGACUAAAGGCAGACUAAUACCAUUUGAUAAAUCCUAAUUUGAUUCCAAUCAAAUAUUGGUAUUUUCUGCAUUUGUCUCGCUGACUUUUUUUCAUCUUCCAAUUUAGAUUGUUUGCUAGUUGAGGAGCACAUGGGCAAUUGAAGAGCAUGUCAAAAAGGAGAGCCAGACUUAGUCCUGAGGCUGAGGCUAUUCAUUUUAUUUCUUCUGGAAGUGACAAGCCUUGUUAUAAGGUCAAAUGGAUCAAUGACUAUAAAGGACGUGGUGUAUUUGCCUGUGCACCAAUUGAAAAGGGAUCCUUUGUCCUCGAGUACCGUGGGGAGUUAAUAUCUGAAUAUGAACGGGACAAGAGGCAGGGGGAGUAUACGGAAAAGCAAAAUGCUUUUUUGUUUGAUUUUGAAUGGAACAAUGGCUCAUGGUGCUUAGAUGCGUCAUGCGAAGACGGUUCACUAGGGCGACUGGUGAAUGAUGCCAACAGGUCCCCAAAUUGCAAAAUGAGAAAGAUGACAGUCCGAUGUAAACCUCAUCUUUGCCUGUUUGCUAUUGAAAACAUCCAAGCAGAGAGUGAAAUCACCUAUGAUUAUGGAGAAUCUCUGUGGCCAUGGCGUGCUCUGGUAAGUAAAUCCUCUUGAUAGAUUAGAAUGUAUAGGAUCUAUUAAAGAAUUAUAAAAUGUAUAAACACAUGUCCCUUCUUGCAUGUAUGUUCUCACCAUGUAUGUACACAAAUGAUUUUCUCUGUUUUAAUUUAAAUGGAUUAUAGUACAAAAUAUCUCUAGACAGGUUAUUGUUGUAUUUCGUUUCAGGCACCAAGUGGCAUGAUCCCAGCUCAUACUUCAGCGGACCCAGAAGUGAACCAGAGAUCCACUUCAUCCUUCCAACAGGUUAUUAGACAUUUAUUGUAGAUCGUUUCUAUUUAAAUUAAAUUGAUGUCUCAGUUCAUUCCAAUUUGAUAUGAAAUGGCUUCUGACUAUCACAACCAACCUUCAUGUGCAAAAUUUUCACAAUAUAAACAUUUCCAUAAGUUGGUUCAAUAUCAUAGCGUUAACAAAAUUAGCCUUACCAUUUGACAGAACUAACCGCCCCUCAAAACAUAAAAUUAUACUUUAUUCUCACUGAAUCCUAUGUUUUUUCCCCUGUGGCAAUGAUUUUGCCCAUUUAACAUACUUCUUAUCAAUUUGCGUGAUUUAAUUUCUACGGCAGUAGAUCCAUUUACAUUAGUGUUGGGGCUUUUCAGCUUUCUUUGAGAACAAAAGGAUAACUCAAUGUCAGGAACCUUGACCCUAGAUGUGUUCAGUCGUCAGGUCCUCAUUUUGUACUUAGUCUGUGCAAGGCUUAAAUGUGUUUCAGAUGACGUCCCAAUAUGGUAUGACCCAACAAGAGUAGAGUGUGUGUGUUACAAGGUCCUCGUAUUGUUGGGUAGCAGUUAUUUUAGUUUGAACCAUUUCUAUAGAGUUACAUAAAAAGCCCAGAUCCACGUGGGAAUUAUUUUAACUAACAUCUGUGGUCCCUACAUGCAAAGCCAAUGC